rnacentral:rRNA from 1 species
UGGGGAAUUUUGGACAAUGGGCGAAAGCCUGAUCCAGCCAUUCCGCGUGAGUGAAGAAGGCCUUCGGGUUGUAAAGCUCUUUUGUCAGGGAGGAAAUCCUAACGGUUAAUACCUGUUGGGGAUGACAGUACCUGAAGAAUAAGGACCGGCUAACUACGUGCCAGCAGCCGCGGUAAUACGUAGGGUCCAAGCGUUAAUCGGAAUUACUGGGCGUAAAGCGUGCGCAGGCGGCAGACUAAGCCAGAUGUGAAAUCCCCGGGCUCAACCUGGGAACUGCGUUUGGAACUGGUCAGCUAGAGUACGUCAGAGGGGGGUAGAAUUCCACGUGUAGCAGUGAAAUGCGUAGAGAUGUGGAGGAAUACCGAUGGCGAAGGCAGCCCCCUGGGAUGAUACUGACGCU